AUUGAACGCUGGCGGCAUGCCUUACACAUGCAAGUCGAACGGCAGCACGGGUGCUUGCACCUGGUGGCGAGUGGCGAACGGGUGAGUAAUAUAUCGGAACGUACCUUAUUGUGGGGGAUAACGCAGCGAAAGCUGUGCUAAUACCGCAUAAUCCCUAAGGGGGAAAGCGGGGGACCGUAAGGCCUCGCGCAAUUAGAGCGGCCGAUACCUGAUUAGCUAGUUGGUGAGGUAAAGGCUCACCAAGGCAACGAUCAGUAGCUGGUCUGAGAGGACGAUCAGCCACACUGGGACUGCGACACGGCCCAGACUCCUACGGGAGGCAGCAGUGGGGAGUUUUGGAGAAUGGGGGCAACCCUGAGCCAGCAAUGCCGCGUGAGUGAAGAAGGCCUUCGGGUUGUAAAGCUCUUUUGUCAGGGAAGAAACAGCAGCUCUAACACAGUAUGCGAAUGACGGUACCUGAAGAAUAAGCACCGGCUAACUACGUGCCAGCAGCCGCGGUAA
rnacentral:rRNA from 1 species